UACGUAGGGUGCGAGCGUUGUCCGGAAUUACUGGGCGUAAAGAGCUCGUAGGUGGUUUGUCGCGUUGGUCGUGAAAUCUCACGGCUUAACUGUGAGCGUGCGGGCGAUACGGGCAGACUAGAGUACUGCAGGGGAGACUGGAAUUCCUGGUGUAGCGGUGGAAUGCGCAGAUAUCAGGAGGAACACCGGUGGCGAAGGCGGGUCUCUGGGCAGUAACUGACGCUGAGGAGCGAAAGCGUGGGGAGCGAACAGG
rnacentral:rRNA from 1 species